GGGCGAAUGGUCUAGUGGUAUGAUUCCUCGUUUGGGUACAUUUCAAACAAAAGUUUCGAGGAGGUCCGGGGUUCAAUUCCCCGUUUGCCCC
rnacentral:tRNA from 1 species